UACGUAGGCAGCAAGCGUUGUUCGGAAUUACUGGGCGUAAAGCGUGCGCAGGCGGUUAUGCAAGACAGAUGUGAAAUCCCCGGGCUCAACCUGGGAACUGCAUUUGUGACUGCACGGCUCGAGUGCGGCAGAGGGGGAUGGAAUUCCGCGUGUAGCAGUGAAAUGCGUAGAUAUGCGGAGGAACACCGAUGGCGAAGGCAAUCCCCUGGGCCUGCACUGACGCUCAUGCACGAAAGCGUGGGGAGCAAACAGG
rnacentral:rRNA from 1 species